GGUUCAUUCAAAUUUCUGCCCUAUCAACUUUCGACGGCUGGGUCUUGGCAGCCAUGGUGACAACGGGUAACGGAGGGUAAGGGCUCGACCCCGGAGAAGGAGCCUGAGAAACGGAUACUACAUCCAAGGAAGGCAGCAGGCGCGCAAAUUACCCAAUCCCGACCGGGGAGGUAGUGACAAUAAAUACUGAUACAGGGCUCUUUGGGGUCUUGUAAUUGGAAUGAGUACAAUUUAAACCUCUUAAGAGGAACAAAUGGGAGGGCAAGUCUGGUGCCAGAGCCGGGUAAUUCCAGCUCCAAUAGCGUAUAUUAAAGUUGUUGCAGUUAAAAACUACGUAGUUG
rnacentral:rRNA from 1 species